GACGAACGCUGGCGGCGUGCUUAACACAUGCAAGUCGAACGGAAAGGCCCUGCUUUUGUGGGGUUCUCGAGUGGCGAACGUGUGAGUAACACGUGAGUAACCUGCCCUUUACUUUGGGAUAACUUCAGGAAACUGGGGCUAAUACCGGAUAGGAGCUCCUGCUGCAUGGUGGGGGUUGGAAAGUUUCGGCGGUUGGGGAUGGACUCGCGGCUUAUCAGCUUGUUGGUGGGGUAGUGGCUUACCAAGGCUUUGACGGGUAGCCGGCAUGAGAGGGUGACCGGCCACAUUGGGACUGAGAUACGGCCCAGACUCCUACGGGAGGCAGCAGUGGGGAAUAUUGCACAAUGGGCGGAAGCCUGAUGCAGAAACGCCGCGUGCGGGAUGACGGCCUUCGGGUUGUAAACCGCUUUCGCAUGUGACGAAGCGUGAGUGACGGUAAUGGGUAAAGAAGCACCGGCUAACUACGUG
rnacentral:rRNA from 1 species